UACUACGGGAGGCAGCAGUGGGGAAUAUUGGACAAUGGGCGCAAGCCUGAUCCAGCCAUGCCGCGUGAGUGAUGAAGGCCUUAGGGUUGUAAAGCUCUUUCAGUGGGGACGAUAAUGACGGUACCCACAGAAGAAGCCCCGGCUAACUUCGUGCCAGCAGCCGCGGUAAUACGAAGGGGGCUAGCGUUGUUCGGAUUUACUGGGCGUAAAGCGCACGUAGGCGGAUCGUUAAGUCGGGGGUGAAAUCCUGGAGCUCAACUCCAGAACUGCCUUCGAUACUGGCGAUCUUGAGUCCGGAAGAGGUGAGUGGAACUCCUAGUGUAGAGGUGGAAUUCGUAGAUAUUAGGAAGAACACCAGUGGCGAAGGCGGCUCACUGGUCCGGUACUGACGCUGAGGUGCGAAAGCGUGGGGAGCAAACAGGAUUAGAUACCCCUGUAGUC
rnacentral:rRNA from 1 species